ACACCGGCAGCUCUAGUGGUAGCAAUUUUUAUUGGGCCUAAAGCGUCCGUAGCCGGUUUAAUAAGUCUCUGGUGAAAUCCUGCAGCUUAACUGUGGGAAUUGCUGGAGAUACUAUUAGACUUGAGAUCGGGAGAGGUUAGAGGUACUCCCAGGGUAGAGGUGAAAUUCUGUAAUCCUGGGAGGACCGCCUGUUGCGAAGGCGUCGAACUGGAACGAUUCUGACGGUGAGGGACGAAAGUUAGGGGCGCGAACCGGAUUAGAUAUCCGGGUAGUCCUAACUGUAAACGAUGCGGACUUGGUGUUGGGGUGGCUUUGAGCUGCUCCAGUGCCGAAGGGAAGCUGUUAAGUCCGCCGCCUGGGAAGUACUGUCGCAAGACUGAAACUCAAAGGAAUUGGCGGGG
rnacentral:rRNA from 1 species